UGUCUGGAACUUGUUCCUCCUGUGAUU
rnacentral:misc_RNA from 1 species